UCGAGUCGGGUACCCGCGGGUAAAAUUGCCAUCCCUACUUGUGGAGCUUUCCUUAAUUCUGCGGCAAGCCGGCCACACCGUAGCACAGGCAGCAGCAUGAGGCUGUUCGGGAAGCACGUGUUCCCGAGGCAGAUCGCCCUGUUCGCCGCCGGGCUGCUGUUCUUCGGGGCGACGACAUACGACGUGCACCGGUCCAUCAAGAACAACGAGCAGCCGCCGACCAGGGAUCAGAUGGAGGCGCUGCAAGACUACAUCAACUCCCGGAAGAAGUAGGGCUCCGAUUUGCGCCUCGUAGGUGUGUAAUCGUCUGCAAAUAAUGUCGGAGCACAAGGGGGUUCUUCUCGUGGAGGACAGAGGUCGCGCGGGCGGGGGUGCGCGCUACGUGUUCGACGUUAUCUCCGUGAGGACCUCAAUGUGUUUGUAGAUCAAUACAUGGCUGUGUAAUUGUAAAAUCUGCUUCAAUAUGAGUACAUAGACUCCUUCCAAAAAAUUUUUUUUUACAUAGACGUUUAUGUACUCA